rnacentral:rRNA from 1 species
UGGGGAAUAUUGGGCAAUGGGCGAAAGCCUGACCCAGCAACGCCGCGUGAAGGAAGAAGGUCUUCGGAUUGUAAACUUCUUUUAUGAGGGACGAAGGACGUGACGGUACCUCAUGAAUAAGCCACGGCUAACUACGCGCCAGCAGCCGCGGUAAUACGUAGGUGGCGAGCGUUGUCCGGAUUUACUGGGUGUAAAGGGCGUGUAGGCGGGACUGCAAGUCAGAUGUGAAAUACGGAGGCUUAACCUCCGAGCUGCAUUUGAAACUGCAAUUCUUGAGUGAUGGAGAGGUAAGCGGAAUUCCCAGUGUAGCGGUAAAAUGCGUAGAUAUUGGGAGGAACACCAGUGGCGAAGGCGGCUUACUGGACAUUAACUGACGCUGAGGCGCGAAAGUGUGGGGAGCAAACAGGAUUAGAUACCCUGGUAGU